CAUUUCCCCACCUAGACAUACGUUUGUUCAUCCAUACGUCAUGCGUGAUUCGCCUGAAGAUUUUUGUUAAUUGAACGGAAAAAUCGAGUGGCGCGAUUGCUUUUUUGUGAAUGGAAAAUUUGUGAGAAUUUAAUUGGUGCAUAGAGAAUGGUGAUUUGAGUGAUUUGAGUGAUUUGAGUAUAUUAUAAUAUAUGGUGUUCAGUGAGAUUUUGAGGAACUUCCAACAUCCGUUUCGGCGAUUGUCGUAGAUCCAUUAAGAUCGUUCAGUCUCAUACUGGAGGAGAUUGCCUGGAUCGUGGACACCUGUGUUUCGGCUCGAUUUGCGGCUUCCUGCAUCGCUGCAAGUUUGUUCACUAAAUGGAAGAGAAGACAUUAUUCCCAGUUUAGCUGCAUCAUUGGUAAAUCUGAUUUUCCGAUGUCGAUAUCGUAAUUAACGCGGCAUGGUGGGCUAUUAAUCGGCUUUUCAUACAAUGGAUCUCGACGGUUCAACGCCUAUUAAUCGGUAUUCGCCUGCAUAGAACGCCGAUAUAUGGGGACCUUCUAGUGCAGCUAAACGUGAUUAAUCUUAAAUAAAUUUUUACCUGCAGGUGAUGACUUGUAGGAAAUAAAAUAUAUGAUAAUUUAAAACUUUGUCCAAAAUUUUCUUUAAAAAAAGCUUUCUUUGUGUUAUAUUACUCUUAAAAAAUAUUGUAAAUCUAAAGAUUAGUAGAGAUAUAAAUAAACGAAAUAUCACGAAAA